UCCACAGAGGAGCCCAUCUUAUCUGCAAAAGACCUCUGAAUCAGUGAAGAGCAGAAUGUUCUGUUAUUCUGUCCAAGUGUUCUUCCCACAGAAGACUACACUUCCAGAAACAUUGGCGCAGCAACAACCAAUGAUAAGCAUCAAGUGCUGGAACUAUAGUGUGGUUCUUCCCAGGAUAUCCAGUAGGUUUCCCCUACUGAAAUGUCUGGCACAUAUUCUCCCUUUAUUCUGCAUGAAGAGAUCCAUGGUGGUGGUCAUUAGACUGGAGGUAGCAACGUUCUCAUUCUACACAUGGUGUCCACGUGGGAGCACCCUGCUGUGCGAAUGCCCAACCAACAUUUCAUUCAUUGGACCCAGGAGUCUCCUCAGAGAGAAGGAAUGUCAUCCUGAUCUCUGGCAUCACAGAAACGAUCCAUCAGGAACUGGACAAUUCCUGAUUCAGCACAUCCAUGGGGUCACCUUCUGCUUGGAGGUUUUUGCACAGCCAUGUACCACUGUGCGUAUGUCUUCGGAGGAGGAACCCAGCUAACCGUCCUUGGUCAGCCAAAGGCAUCUCCCACCGUGCACCUCUUCCCUCCAUCCUCAGAAGAGAUAAAAACAAAGAGCAAAGCCACACUGGUGUGUCUGCUGGGCAGCUUUUACCCAGGGUCAGUCCAAGUCAUCUGGAAAGCUGAUGGCCAGCAGAUCUCCACUGGAGUGGAGACGACCAAACCCUCCAAACAGAGUGACAACAAGUUCAUGGCCAGCAGUUACCUGUCUCUGGAUGCAUCAAAGUGGAAGACCCAUGAGACCUACACCUGCCAGGUGACACAUGAUGGGAAGAGCUUCGAGAAGUCUCUGAAGAGCUCAGAGUGUUCUUAACAGGGGGCUCCGCUGGUUCCUGUGUCAGUCACUAGAGAGUUUCCCAGGGGAGCAGCAAAACUGCUUCCUGUUUGAUGUGAUCCCUUUGAUACCCACUGUUAUUCCCAUGUUCCCACUGCUCUCGCCCCUCUGCAUUCCCUGGAAAUGUCCUCCCUGCUUCAGCCUCUGAUGCAGCCUUGUUACGCUAUUAACAAAACCAGAAACAUUCAGCUAUCGCGGUGUCUGUGCAGAGUUAAACCUCUUCUGUCCUCUUCACACUUACUGACUGUAUUUGAACUAUUUACAUUAUCUUCCAAUAAAACAUGUACCUUUAUCAUCCAAA